CAAAUGAAUUGACGGGGCCCGCACAAGCGGUGGAGCAUGUGGUUUAAUUCGACGCAACGCGAAGAACCUUACCAGGGCUUGACAUCCCCUGACCGCGUAUGAAAGUACGUUUUCACCCUCGGGUGACAGGGAGACAGGUGGUGCAUGGUUGUCGUCAGCUCGUGUCGUGAGAUGUUGGGUUAAGUCCCGCAACGAGCGCAACCCCUACGUUUAGUUGCUAACGCGUGAAGGCGAGCACUCUAGACGAACUGCCGUUGACAAAACGGAGGAAGGUGGGGAUGACGUCAAAUCAUCAUGCCCCUUAUGUUCUGGGCUACACACGUGCUACAAUGGCCGGUACAGACGGAGGCGAAGCCGCGAGGCGGAGCAAAUCCGAAAAAGCCGGUCUCAGUUCGGAUUGCAGGCUGCAAUUCGCCUGCAUGAAGUCGGAAUCGCUAGUAAUCGCAGGUCAGCAUACUGCGGUGAAUACGUUCCCGGGCCUU
rnacentral:rRNA from 1 species